GUUUGAUUUAUUGAAGCCUGUGAACCUGUUGCUGCUUCAGAGCCUAGUGGAGUAACCUGCAUGAAAAAUCAAGAAAAUGCAGGGCUGCCAUAUUGACCAGGUGGUAGAAACCCUAGGAUGCCUUGGUGGGAUUAUGACAACCUCUGCCUUGACUGUGGA
rnacentral:lncRNA from 12 species